UGGGGAAUUUUCCGCAAUGGGCGAAAGCCUGACGGAGCAAUGCCGCGUGGAGGUGGAAGGCCUACGGGUCGUCAACUUCUUUUCUCGGAGAAGAAACAAUGACGGUAUCUGGGAAUAAGCAUCGGCUAACUCUGUGUCAG
rnacentral:rRNA from 1 species